CACAUGCAGAUUCAAUGUGUCUAGAUAUAGAUGUAAGUAUAUAUAACUUUUUGAGUGUACAAAUAAACUCAUCAUAGAUACCAGGACUAAAUUGUGUAUAUACGCCAGACGCGCGCUUUGUCUACAAAAGACUUAUCAGUGACGCUCGAAUCCAAAAAAGUUGAAAAGAUCAAAUAAAGUAUGAAGUUGAAGAGCAUUGAGGACCGAAAUUCCUAAAAGUUUUGCCAAAUACAGCUAAGAUAAUCUAUGCCUGAGGUAGAAAAGCCUUAGUAUUUGAAAAAUUUCAAAUUUUAUAAACAGGUAAUGUAUUGCUUCGAUUGAAACAGGGUUAAGUGCCUUUUUUAUCUUCUUGUUUUUCGUUCUUUCGAUUCUUUUACAUGUGUAUAUAUGCAUCCUUUUUAUUCCAAUUAAAUGGUUGAGAAUUUGAAAGAGGAAGUGACUGAAGGAGGUUAAAAAAAGUAUUUCAUCCUGACACAUUUUUUUCUGUUCCUUUCACGACAUGCUAUUCAGGCACCUCGUCAGUGAAUUCAUGUCUUUGUAGAGUUGUCUCAUUGGUACUCAUACCAAAUCUUCUUAUGUCUGCUUUGUUGAAUUAGAUUUUAAAUCGCAUCCCAAUACCUAUUUUGUGAUACUUCACAACUUUAUGAACUAGCUGUCCUGUAAUCUUGUGUAUUGUUACUAUAUAAAUCAAACUUUAACAUAUUUUUUUGUUUUUGUUUUGUUUUUAUACAGUUGCAUUUGGGUUACUGUCGUAUUAACACUGUCUCCCCUUGUCUUUAAAUUCAUGUAUAGCCAUAUUUCAGAGGUACACGGUUGAGUGUACUAUAAACUAUACUGUGUUGACAUGCAUUAUUAUUGAUACGGUCAUUAUUAUAAAUCAACUUUUUAGGCCGUUAGUUUUUGUCGUUUGAAUUGUUUUUCAUUGACAUGUCGGGGCUUUUUAUAGCUGACUAUGCGGUAUGGGCUUUGCUCAAUAUUGGAGGCCGUACGGUUACCUAUAGCAGAGACGUAAAUAUGUCUCUGCCUAGAGUUGUUAAUUUAUGUGUCGUGUGGAGAGUUGUCUCAUUGGCAAUCAUACCACUUCUUCUCUUUUUUUUUUAUUUUUACAAAACUUUGAAUAUUUUGAAAACACUAAGGAUGUUCUACCCAAGAAAUAGAUUAUACCUAAUUAGAUGUAUCCGUCAAAAUCUUUCUGAAUAUUGGCUUUCCAAUUCCCUUAAAAUUCUUAGCCCUAUUUUGGCAUUAUAAUAAUUUUUAAGAUUUGAUAGUCUGAUCUUUUGUCCAAAACAACUCAUCCUUCAAAUACUACCAAAAUCUUUCUGAAUAUUGGCUUUCCAAUAAACUUACCCUAUAUUAUAUAACUUUUACACUGAUGGGCCUUUUGUAGACGAAACACUCAUCUGGCAUACAACAGUUUAAUCCUGGUAUCUAGGAUGAGUUUAUUCACCUUGUAAGGCAAAAACUACAACCAGCACGUAUAAAUGUUUUACUAAAUGUAAUUCUAGUUAUGACAUAAAAAGAAACCAUUGAAAGCAGGGCGUUUAUACUUUGAGUGGUAAUAUAAUAUUUAAUAAGCUAAAUAUAUAUACUAAAAUUCUUUUUAAUCUUUAUUGAAUGCAUAAAACUAAGCUUACAUUCACGUCAUCUGGUCUCUGGUGGAUAGUUGUAUCAUUGGCAAUCAUACCACAUAUAGCCUUUAUUUAUAUUGUUGUAAAGAUAGUACAUUUUAAAACGUGAUUUACAAAAAAUAAACUUAUCGUAUCUGAUAGAUUUAUUAUAUGAUGCCUUAUAGCAUCUAAAUAUAAGGUCUGAAAUUUUUGUAAUUUGAGUAAACUGAGAUGUAGAAAAGUAAACUUUUUGUUAUUGCUUGCACUCUGAAAAAGAAAUCACCAACAGCUGCAUGUGCUAUGAGAAAAGCAGCAUUACAAUUAAAUCUGAAUAAUUGAAUCAUUUAUUAAUUGUUUUCUUAAUAUUACUACAACUAUAUCCAUUUGUCUUCAUUCAGUGUUUACAAACUAACACUAAUACAAAAGGAGCAUAGUAACUGUUUGCAUUAUUAUUUAAAAAAAACUAAAUCUUAUUUCAUUAUGUAUGAUUUUUUCUUUCGUUGUUGAAGUUAUCCAAAUAAUUAUAUAUAUGGAGAGCCAUGAUUGACUCUCAAAUCAAAUAAUGAUGUUAAAAUUAUAGCGAGUCAUUAAUGUACUCAUAUAUAUAUAUAUAUAUAUAUUGGUUUAUACUUUUAUUAUUAUUUAUUCAAUUAUCAGUUAUUGUUAUCUAAAUUCAAAUAUACCUAUAGAUUUUUUAUUAUACUUAGUGUCACUUUUACCGUCUUUAUUGUUCGCAGAUAUUUAUGUAGGGAUUGAACAAGUUAGAUUUUUCAAACAACCAUGUGAAGGCAAUUUAUGAUCGUAUAUACAUAAUGAAUUCAGUGAUAUUAUAAAACAAUUCGGUAUGAUAGCGAGAAUUACUGCCCUACAAGAUGUAUUUUGUAACUAGUAAAGACAAUAAAACGGCUUAUUUUGUGAUCAAAAAUAUAUUUCCACAUACUUGUCUUCAAUUCCAGCAGCCCAGGAAGAAGACUAUUGCAAUCUUAGUCAGACAAAACAAACAAAAUGUGUAUGAUUUGUGCUUGUUUCUUUUUAGUGUGUUAGGUAUAGGUAGGAAUGAGCUUUUUCAUUAUGCUGAAUCUUAUUUUACCUUUAGUACAUGUGAGGAGCAGCGAAUUUGUUACAAUUGAGUAUAUGCCAAUACUGCCGAUAAAAACCUCAGAGCUCUCAUUUCAAGACAUAUAGAACGAAAGGUAGAAAGGGAAGCCCAAAGAAUGGGGCUUGAACCAGUACUAUUUCCUAUCACUUAACGAAUCACACCACACAAAGUUAAGUUGAUCUGCAUAUGUAUGUUGUUGUGAUUGUUGCUAUAGAAACUCGUCGAUGGAAGC
rnacentral:lncRNA from 1 species